CGGAGGGAUAUGGACCCACCACUCCGUCGACGACGGAGUGGUGUGGCGUGCCUCACACUUCGUUAGG
rnacentral:tRNA from 2 species